GAUCAUGGCUCAGAACGAACGCUGGUGGCGUGUCUUAUACAUGCAAGCGAGCGAGGCAGCAAUGCCGAGCGGCGAACGGGUGAGUAACGCGUAAGCAAUCUGCCCCAUAUCAGGAAAUACCCGUGCCAACGCGCGGUUAAUGUCCAGGAGAGUGGCCCCCUGCAUGGGGGGUUGACUAGAGAUUUAUCGGUAUGGGAUGAGCUUGCGUCCGAUUAGCUAGUUGGCGGGGCAACGGCCCACCAAGGCGACGAUCGGUAGCCGGCCUGAGAGGGUGAUCGGCCACAUUGGGACUGAGAUACGGCCCAGACUCCUACGGGAGGCAGCAGUAGGGAAUAUUGCACAAUGGGGGAAACCCUGAUGCAGCAACGCCACGUGUGGGAAGAAGCAUUUCGGUGUGUAAACCACUGUCAUGAGGGAAUAAGGCCACCUUCGGACGGACUUGAAUGUACCUUGAGAGGAAGCACCGGCAAACUUCGUGCCAGCCGCCGC
rnacentral:rRNA from 1 species